CCAGACGAGAGUUGAACCUUCGCUCUACCUGCCCGUGGAUUUACGUGCAGAAAGACAACGGAGCCGACGUCUACCCAAGAUAUGUUCGCGAGGCGAAAUGUCUGUGCGACGAGUGUCUGGAAAGUACCUCAAUGAGCUGCCAAAGACUGGAGGUGAACGCUACAGUUUUCAGACGGGUGGGUUGUAAGGAUGGGGUCGCCCUUAUGAAAAAGGAACAGAUUCUGGUCAAAGUGGGAUGCUACUGCGCAAGCCCAGUCAACGGUUCCGGCCCAGUCAUCGAUACCUCUAACGUCAUUUGGAGCUAAACACAAGGUUUGAACCUGUGUCUUCCAGAACAAAAACCGGCGAGUAACGCCUGAGAUUCGAUGAUGUUUUCCUCUUGACGAGAAGCUACAAUGGUAAAAGUGUGAACGAUCUGAUAUUCUAUUUCUAUCUAUCUAUCUAUCUAUCUAUCUAUAUCUUACACUCUCCCACCCCUCAUCCCAUCCCUGUCCAUAAGCCUGCCUUUAGUUCUGGAACUCCCUUAAUCUUCUAUGUAUCUAUUUACUCACAAUACCUUUCUCAAUCUUUUCAAUCUUUUCUUUUUUUCCAAUCUUCGUUCACAUAUUGUAGUCUCGUCAAGGAAAUUCGUAGAUCAAAUUGAUCUAACAUUAGCACACAACGUGUGCUCUAUGUGCUCGAUAUCUAUUUCAUACGUAUUCUUUUUUCGUUUUCCUCUUUUUGUACAUAGAAUAUUACCUUCAUGUUUUAACCUGAAUACAUUCCACCUUUACUAUAUUUUCAAGCACAAAAUAAUCUGUAAAACUUAUACUGUUUCAUUCAGUUUGAGAGUGUUUCAUUUUUAUUAUGCUUCUGUGGUUGCAAAACUUGGUGUUAAUAACUUUCAUUUUUAAUUGUAGUUUUAGUUUUUGAAAAAGAUACAAUAUGGCAGAAAACCACAAUUCUUUAACUGCAAGCAUCAAUUAUUUUCUCCGAGACAUUAUCCUUAUAAUAUGAUUUGAGGAAAUAUUAAUUAAUUGUUCAGAACAAGCUACAGCACAAACCCGAAUUCUUCAGAUUUAAAACGGACCUAUGGAAUCUAUAACGCCUCAAUAAGCUCUAAGACAGAUGAGUCUCAAGAAGAUAUUUAAUUGGUUUUAAAUUAUCAGUAUCAAGUAGUCAAAAUUUUUCAAAACAAAUUAUGUUUCUAUGAUCUCGUGAUGAUGCUGCUCCGUUUCGUUUAUUAACAUAAUAUCUAAAUCUUUAUUUUAAAACCACAUACUUGUGUUCAGAGAUAAGGCUUUGUUUUACCUUCCCUUUACUGUACAAAUGGAUUUUUACAUCAAUUUAUUUAUGGAUACUUGCACGAACUAUUGAAAAUGUUUUUGCCUUCUUUGUAAUUUUCGGAUGAAUGAACAUUUCCUAAUAAUACGUAGUAUUCUUUUCUGUGAUUGAUCUACGUUUACGUCUUUCAACAUUGCCUUGAUUUCUCGUCCUUUUCAUGAAAUACUCAACGAAUAAGAUAUCAUCCUUGCAGUAUUACUUACGACUACUUUCGAAUUGUUCCUGUGCAUAUUUAAAACAUAUCAGGCUAAGGUCGUUUUGACAUACAGACCAGAGCCUUCCCUGUCAAACAGAGCUGUUGCAUAAAAUACCGGAGAUAGAACUACAUCACUGUAGAUACUGUAUAAAAUGUGAUGUAUUCAGUUGGGGGAUUUUUACAUGUUAUACUUGAAUUACAACUGUACAAUUUAUAUAUGAGCACUCCCUCGAUUGAUAAAUGAGCAAGUCUCCUCUGAAUAGAGGGGACAAAAAGUAAAAUAUGCCAUGUAUGUGUGUUCGUUUGUGUGUGUGUGUGUGUGUGUGUGUGUGUGUGUGUGUGUGUGUGUGUGUGUGUGUGUGUGUGUGUUUGUGUGCGUUUGUGUAUGAAACGCACAACAUUAUGUAAUUGUAUUGUAAAUACAAUGUUGAUAACAAGGAGAUUAGCAUAAUAUUUGUGAUGGUCUGGUGCUUUAAAUAAGUCUCGUCUUGUUAUGAUAUGUUCAAUAAUCCCAAGCUGCCAUAUCCAAAGUCACACGAGUACUCAAUAACUUAUUUGUCUCUCCAGAAACAUAAAAUUUUAUUGUUUCAGUAUUCUAAUAUUUCAGCGUUACAGAAACGCAAUUCCCAUGGAAAUCCGUACUGCCACUCAUUACAAUAUUUCAUAUUUUCUGUGUUCCCUUUGUCUUUUUAUGUAAAGCAACUGAUGUUUUAUCCAAUAAUAAUAUUGUUUAUUUAUUUAAGUUGCCUCUUUGAUAUUGCCCUAUGUAAAUUUUACCUGUUGAUUUUGUAUUUAGUUUGCCAUUCGCAGCGAACGACUGUUGUUAUAAUGUUAUUUAUUUGACCAGAUUUGGUCUCAAAUAAUGCUUUUAUGAAAUAAAAUAAUUUAAAUUUGGAGAAAAAAAAAA
rnacentral:lncRNA from 1 species